rnacentral:tRNA from 1 species
GUUUUGGUAGCUUAAUCCCAAAGCGUCGGCCUUGUAAGCCGAAGACCGGAGGUGAAAUUCCUCCCCAAAACA